GGCUCUGCAGCGCAGGGCGGAGAGCGCGCGUCUCGUGCACCCGGGGCCGUGAGUUCGAGUCUCCCCAGGGCCU
rnacentral:tRNA from 1 species